AACGCUAGCUACAGGCUUAACACAUGCAAGUCGAGGGGUAGCAGGGUAGCAAUACCGCUGACGACCGGCGCACGGGUGAGUAACACGUAUCCAACCUUCCCAUAACUCGGGGAUAGCCUUUCGAAAGAAAGAUUAAUACCCGAUAGUACUUAAGAAAGGCAUCUUUUUUAAGUUAAAGAUUUAUCGGUUGUGGAUGGGGAUGCGUCUGAUUAGCUUGUUGGCGGGGUAACGGCCCACCAAGGCAAUGAUCAGUAGGGGUUCUGAGAGGAAGGUCCCCCACAUUGGUACUGAGGCACGGACCAAACUCCUACGGGAGGCAGCAGUGAGGAAUAUUGGUCAAUGGGCGAGAGCCUGAACCAGCCAAGUAGCGUGAAGGAUGAAGGUCCUAUGGAUUGUAAACUUCUUUUAUAGUAGAAUAAAGUGAUCCACGUGUGGAUUUUUGUAUGUAUACUAUGAAUAAGGAUCGGCUAACUCCGUGCCAGCAGCCGCGGUAAUACGGAGGAUCCGAGCGUUAUCCGGAUUUAUUGGGUUUAAAGGGUGCGUAGGCGGAAUAAUAAGUCAGUUGUGAAAGUUUGCGGCUCAACCGUAAAAUUGCAGUUGAUACUGUUAUUCUUGAGUGUACAUAAGGUAGGCGGAAUUCGUGGUGUAGCGGUGAAAUGCUUAGAUAUCACGAAGAACUCCGAUUG
rnacentral:rRNA from 1 species